CACAAACACAGGUGGCCAGCCCUCAUCUGGCAGCAGCGUGGGGCCUGAGCUGGAUGGAAGAGCUGGACUGCCAGAGGACGAAGCAGGCUCUCACAAAAGCAGCAGAAAGAGACAAAGACACCUGGACAGGUCACCCUGGACCAUCGAUCAGAGCCUCCGCAGCCAGACGGGCUGCUCUGGGGGUUGAGGCCCCGACGCAGGACAACAUUUCCCUUGACCUGUUCGACAAGCCCGCUUAAUUACGACACAGAAGCAGUCUCAUAGAGGAAACACUAAGCAAGCCAUGCGGUGUUGUGGAAGGAGCUGCGGGUCGACUGGGUUCAGACUCACUUCCUGGCUCGGUUCUGGACGGCCUGCUGCUGCUGCUGCUGCUGUUGCUGCUGCUGCUGCUGCUGGACCUGCUGGGAGGGGGCAGGCCUCUUACGACUGGGCUCCAUCACCGGGGAGGGCAGGCCGGGCCGCACCGCGGGGCUCCCUCCGUACGGUGGGCCGGGGGGGCCCAUGGGAGCUCCCUGGUGGGGCAUCCUCGCUCCAGACGGCAUACCAGGACGCUGGGAGGAGAGCGGAAAAGAGAGAGGUCAUAAAAACAUUCUCCACUGUGUUUUCUGAUUAAUUAUAACCACAAAUUAAGGUUUCUAAAAAUACAACCAAGUAAGAUCAAUUGUAACUUUUGUGCUUUUUCCUCUUGGUGGAUUGAAGGUGGGGAGUUUUUUUUUUUUGUAAACACACCUAUCUAGGCUGACAAAAUCAUGAAUUAGAGCUUCAACAAAGAGCUUCUAAUCCAGACACCACAGACUUGACCUAUUAAAACACAAACAGCGAGUUCACAGUGCUACA